rnacentral:lncRNA from 1 species
GCAGCCGCCGCAAUCAGUAACCCUUCCUCCAUUGCACUGUUGUAUCUUCUUCUUCAUCAGCCGCGAUUUCUGUAAACUUGAUUUUACAUGAACCCUAAGAUCUUUAACAUCUAAACUAGUCACAAAAUAGAACUUCAAAGAGGAUUAUCGGAAUACCUCGAUUGAUCGUUGCAGAAAUCUUCUUGAACGGUUUUGGUUUUGGAAGAUGAGUUUUUGAUCUCUAAGUUGGAACUUGAUCUUCUCUCCCCUUGCCUAAAACCUUUCUUUAUGUGUUUCCUUAGGAUUUUCUUUCAU